CCUACGGGUGGCAGCAGUGGGGAAUAUUGCACAAUGGGCGAAAGCCUGAUGCAGCAACGCCGCGUGAGCGAUGAAGGCCCUCGGGUCGUUAAGCUCUGUCCUCAGGGGAGCUAAUGACGGUACUUGAGGAGGAAGCCCCGACUCACUACGUGCCAGCAGCCGCGGUAAUACGUAGUGGGCUCGCGUUAUCCUGAGUUACUGGGGUUAUAGGGUUCGUAGGUGGUUUCUUAGGUCAGAGGUGAAAGGCUACGGCUCAACCGUAGUAAGCCUUUGAAACUGGGGAACUUGAGUGCAGGAGAGGAGAGUGGAAUUCCUGGUGUAGCGGUGAAAUGCGUAGAUAUUAGGAGGAACACCAGUUGCGAAGGCAGCUCUCUGGACUAUAACUGACACUGAGGCACGAAAGCGUGGGGAGCGAACAGGAUUAGAUACCCUGGUAGUC
rnacentral:rRNA from 1 species